rnacentral:rRNA from 1 species
UACGUAGGGGGCGAGCGUUGUCCGGAUUUAUUGGGCGUAAAGAGCGUGUAGGCGGCCUGGCAGGUCUGCUGUGAAAACUCGAGGCUCAACCUCGAGAUGUCGGCGGAAACCGUCUGGCUAGAGUCCGGAAGAGGAGAGUGGAAUUCCUGGUGUAGCGGUGAAAUGCGCAGAUAUCAGGAGGAACACCGGUGGCGAAGGCGGAUCUCUGGGCCUUACCUGACGCUCAGGCGCGAAAGCUAGGGGAGCGAACAGG